GACGAACGCUGGUGGCGUGCUUAACACAUGCAAGUCGAACGGUGAUGCUCCAGCUUGCUGGAGUGGAUCAGUGGCGAACGGGUGAGUAACACGUGAGCAACCUGCCCCAGACUCUGGAAUAAGCGCUGGAAACGGCGUCUAAUACUGGAUACGAAACUGGCCCGCAUGGGCAUGGUUUGGAAAGUUUUUCGGUUUGGGAUGGGCUCGCGGCCUAUCAGCUUGUUGGUGAGGUAAUGGCUCACCAAGGCGACGACGGGUAGCCGGCCCGAGAGGGCGACCGGCCACACUGGGACUGAGACACGGCCCAGACUCCUACGGGAGGCAGCAGUGGGGAAUAUUGCACAAUGGGCGAAAGCCUGAUGCAGCGACGCCGCGUGAGGGAUGACGGCCUUCGGGUUGUAAACCUCUUUCAGCAGGGAAGAAGCGAAAGUGACGGUACCUGCAGAAGAAGCACCGGCUAACUACGUG
rnacentral:rRNA from 1 species